GGAAUGAAGUAGCUCAGUUGGUAGAGAAUGAGUCUCUUAAUCUCAGGGUCAUGGGUCUGCACCCCAUGCUGGGCAAACCAUUCCU